GAUGAACGCUAGCGGCAGGCCUAACACAUGCAAGUCGAGGGGUAACGUGAGUGCUUGCACUUGACGACGACCGGCGCACGGGUGCGGAACGCGUAUGGAACCUACCUUUAUCAGGGGGAUAGCCCAUGGAAACGUGGAUUAAUACCCCAUAGUAUUAUUUCAUUGCAUGAUGAUAUAAUUAAAGAAUUUCGGAUAGAGAUGGCCAUGCGUAUCAUUAGCUAGUAGGCGAGGUAACGGCUCACCUAGGCGACGAUGAUUAGGGGUCCUGAGAGGGAGAUCCCCCACACUGGUACUGAGACACGGUCCAGACUCCUACGGGAGGCAGCAGUGGGGAAUUUUCCGCAAUGGGCGAAAGCCUGACGGAGCAAUACCGCGUGAGGGAAGACGGCCUAUGGGUUGUAAACCUCUUUUCUCAGGGAGGAACUCAAUGACGUUACCUGAGGAAUAAGCAUCGGCUAACUCCGUG
rnacentral:rRNA from 1 species